rnacentral:lncRNA from 1 species
AUGUGUAACAUUCAAGGUUUUAUUCAGUAUUUACAUACAGUACACAAGUCAGAAACAAUGGUCAAGAAACCUUCAAAUAAGGUCAGUUGGAUAUAAAAUAAAAUCUGCAGUCAAAACAACAGAUUUUCCAUUAAAAAUCACAAACAAGUGUUUUUUUCUUUCUAAGCAUAUUUUUUAUGUCCACGUAGGUGUUGGAGAUAUACAGAGCUAUGAUGAAACAAUCACAUGUUCUUUUACAGCUAAUACAUUUCCCUUUCUGCUCCUUAAGAAAACAUAAACCUGACGUUCAGUCAUUUUAGUACCCUGUGGUUGCAACCGAGCCAAAUAUAGACAUUACCUCGUCCUCAACCCACUCUCGUACCCGAACACGUUCUUGAUAUUAUUUUUCAUGACGUUACCGUAGCAACCCUCCUAUAAGGUAGCCUCGUUUCAUUUGACAGUGCAGUGGUGGUGAUGAUCAAGAAUCAUAAGCUUUAUGUAAAUGGUUUACUCUAACUUGUAUGCUACUUUAUGACUCAUAGGGCCACUGUGUCAGGUGAGGGGACAGGUAGUCGUUUUCCCUAACUAAAGCUUCAUAGGGCCACUGUGUCAGGUGAGGGGACAGGUAGUCGUUUUCCCCACACUAAAGCUUCUCUUCUGAAAAACCUCACGGCCUUAGCCCCGUCCUCACUAGAUCAAGUAGCACUCAGUUUAAUGAAAUUUCCUAGUUACUAUUGAUAUCACGAGAGAUUAAAGGGUUUGAAAUUGCCCCCAUAAACGAAAUAUUCCUAAUCCAGCUCGGUGUGGCCGUUUGUGUCGACUACAUCAGCACCGUGAAUCGAGUGCACUUAUAGCACGUCAAAGCCUCAGACUCAGUGGGUGUCAUGUCCUUCACAUGACAAGACAGAGCUGGCUUCAUCAUGGCUCAGACUCUCAGAGUGGAGAGUGGGAUACUAAAGGCAUGUAACAAGUAUCAUUAAUACCAAUUCUCAUGUUCGAAUUCUUAUGACACGUUCUACUAAUCCCUUGAACGAUGCAAGUCUGUCUUGCAUGAAGUAGUGAUUUCCUUGCUUAUUGUGGCCAAUGAGAAUACAGAAUUAGCAGGCUAGGGUCCAUUUUAAAAGCAUGUUUUGACACAAUAGACAAUGUUGGGUAUUUUUGCCAGCAUUUAGCUGAUAAUGUAGUUGACCAUCAUUGUCCUCCACAAAGAAAAUCGGGGAGGGGACUGUGGAUCUAUAUCCGUCCGUUAUCUCAGACAGCACUGGCCUAAUUUUGACGAGACUUGGGGGAAUGAUGCAUCUUGCAAUAGAGAUCCGCCAUUUACAAAAUGACACUGUUUGGCCAGACUGUGGCGUUAUAACAAGUUAUUGAAAAUGCAAACUUUAAAAGGUCACACCCCUCAGACCAUUUGACCAAAAGUCAUUAAAUUCUGUACAUACAGUAUGUCCCUCUCCUCACAAGAAACAAAUAAGGUCUGCUAUGAUGGAUUUUCAGCCAUUUACAAUUUUGUGCUAAAGACUUACAACGCUACUCCUCUGGCAUCGAAUUACCAAUCUGUAUGAAACAUGAUAUUUGGCAUCUAUGGACAAAGAUCUCUCAACGCAAUAUUUUCCAGACUAGUACCUAAAACAACAUAGCCGCUCUUGACCAAUAAACAUUCACGUGGGCGUGGUCUGGCACAUUAAUGCAUAUAAAUCAGUUACAGAUAUUCGUAUUGUAACAAACUCUGGUGAACAUGUUGCAAACACUGUCAGGACUCAUCAUACAGUGCCUUUGGAAAGUAUUCAGACCCCUUGA